rnacentral:rRNA from 1 species
AUUGAACGCUGGCGGCAGGCCUAACACAUGCACGUCGAACGAGUGGCGGACGGGUGAGUAAUGUCUGGGAAACUGCCUGCUGGAGGGGGAUAACUACUGGAAACGGUAGCUCAUACCGCAUACCAUCAGAUGUGCCCAGAUGGGAUUGGAUUGUUGUUGGGGUAACGGCUCACAAAGGCGACGAUCCCUAGCUGGUCUGAGAGGAUGACCAGCCAAAGUGGAACGGAGACACGGUCCAGACGCAGACGGGAGGCAGCAGUGGGGAAGAUGGCACAAUGGGCGCAAGCCUGAUGCAGCCAUGCAGCGGGUAUGAAGAAGGCCUGCGGGUUGUAAAGUACUUUCAGCGGGGAGGCGUGACCCGCAGAAGAAGCACCGGAUAACUCCGUGCCAGCCGCCGCGGUAAUAC